UGAUAAGCAUACUCCAGACAAGAUGUCAAAAGAUUUGGUAAUGUUGGUUGAGAUAUUCACCGGAAGAGAUCUACAAAACUUCAUAUACAAUGUGCCCAACGUACCUCAACAGCCCGAUAGUGAUAGUUGUGGUGCUUUCAUGUUGGACUUCAUGGAGAAAUGGGAUGGUUCACUCAGUCACCCAAAAGAGAAGG